UACGGAGGGGGCUAGCGUUGUUCGGAAUUACUGGGCGUAAAGCGCGCGUAGGCGGAUUGGAAAGUUGGGGGUGAAAUCCCGGGGCUCAACCUCGGAACUGCCCUCAAAACUCCCAGUCUUGAGUUCGAGAGAGGUGAGUGGAAUUCCGAGUGUAGAGGUGAAAUUCGUAGAUAUUCGGAGGAACACCAGUGGCGAAGGCGGCUCACUGGCUCGAUACUGACGCUGAGGUGCGAAAGCGUGGGGAGCAAACAGG
rnacentral:rRNA from 1 species